rnacentral:misc_RNA from 1 species
UCAUCAUCAUCAUCAUCAUCAUCACCAUCUUCUUUGUUCUUCUUGAGGCGGGUUGUACCACCCUCCUUACUAAUGGGCAACUUCAUUGCUCCAAAAGGUGUAUCCACAUUAAUAUGUCCUUUCAUAGUGUAACCAGUGCCUUUUCCUCUAAUCAUGUCCCAAAGUGCAGAGCCAAAGUCCUUAGGCCUGAAGGUGAUGGGAAUAUCAAUGUAACUAAUUCCAUUUUUGUCAAUUUUGGUAGAUUUGGCUAGUUCUGCACCCCCAAUGCUUACAUCAGAUAGCCAAACUUCAUAGUCUAAUCCAUUAAGGCCCAAGUCAAAAUCAUUCUUGUUUUCUAACUUCAAAUGAAGCACAGCAACAGUUUCUUCAAAGGAAAACCUCUCAAAGUGUAUUUUCUCAAGAUCAAUAUCAGGCUUGUAAGGUAUCGGAAUCUCUCCAGUUUUCUCAAGAGGUAGAGUUAGCCUUCCAAAGACCGGAACAUCUACAAUGAGAUCAACCUUAAUCCUGUAUGGAAUGAUACUUCCAGGCUUAAUAUCAUUGUAUGUGCUUCUUAUAUCGUCAUAAAUCAAAGUAACUGGUAUUUUGACAGUCUCCUCGCCAUGUGCAUGAAUAGUUCCAGCAUCUGGUAUUAAGCCUGAAACAAGUUUCCGUCCAUCACUCUCAAUUAAGUAGUUGAUGUCAAUGAGAGGGAUUGGAAUAGGAUUGGGGUUCUUAACAAGCACAUCAACAACAAGAUCUGCCUUCUCUAGAUUGAUUGAAGGGAUAUGAAUCCCUGUAACAUCUGCAGUUGGCUUGCCAAAACCAAUAGCUCCCUCAAUCUUUUCACCAAUGUCAUGAAUGAAGUCCUUUACCUUGUCGAUAAAUCCACCCUUAUCCUCAUCCUCGUUGUGAUCUUUCUCCUUGACAUCUCUAUCAAUGACUUCUGGCUUAUCAGAAGAUGCCAUAUCUGAGAAGCUUGAGCGAUGGAAGCAGCUGAUCUUGGUAGAGAGUGUAGCGUGUGAAAAGGAGAGGAGAGAAACAGCAGUACCCUUUUUGGAGCCGGGAGUAUCCAAGGAAGACACAUUUGAGAGAC